rnacentral:misc_RNA from 1 species
UCCGGCUUGACGCCGGCAGUCCCCGUAGAGUCCCCGACCGGGAAGUCAAGGGCUGGUAAGGUUCUUCGCGUUGCCUCGAAUUAAACCACAUGCUCCACCGCUUGUGCGGGCCCCCGUCAAUUCCUUUGAGUUUUAAUCUUGCGACCGUACUCCCCAGGCGGGGUGCUUAAUGCGUUUGCUGCGCCACCGAAGAGCAUGCUCCCCGACGGCUAGCACCCAUAGUUUACGGCGUGGACUAC